GGUGAGAUGGGUGAGUGGCUUAAACCAACAGUUUGCUAAACUGUCGUACGUUAACGCGUACCGGGGGUUCGAAUCCCCCUCUCACCG
rnacentral:tRNA from 1 species